rnacentral:rRNA from 1 species
AACAGGGAUUGCCUCAGUAACGGCGAGUGAAGCGGCAACAGCUCAAAUUUGAAAUCUGGCCCUAGGCCCGAGUUGUAAUUUGCAGAGGAUGCUUUUGGUGCGGUGCCUUCCAAGUUCCCUAGAACGGGACGCCAGAGAGGGUGAGAGCCCCGUACAGUUGGACACCAAGCCUUUGUAAAGCUCCUUCGACGAGUCGAGUAGUUUGGGAAUGCUGCUCAAAAUGGGAGGUAUAUUUCUUCUAAAGCUAAAUACCGGCCAGAGACCGAUAGCGCACAAGUAGAGUGAUCGAAAGAUGAAAAGCACUUUGAAAAGAGGGUUAAACAGCACGUGAAAUUGUUAAAAGGGAAGCGCUUGUGACCAGACUUGCGUCCGGUGAAUCACCCAGCUCUCGCGGCUGGGGCACUUCGCCGGCUCAGGCCAGCAUCAGCUCGCUGUCGGGGACAAAAGCUUCAGGAACGUAGCUCUCUUCGGGGAGUGUUAUAGCCUGUUGCACAAUACCCUUCGGCGGGCUGAGGUACGCGCUCCGCAAGGAUGCUGGCAUAAUGGUCAUCAGCGACCCGUCUUGAAACACGGACCAAGGAGUCAACCUUAUGUGCGAGUGUUCGGGUGUCAAACCCCUACGCGUAAUGAAAGUGAACGCAGGUGAGAGCUUCGGCGCAUCAUCGACCGAUCCUGAUGUUCUCGGAUGGAUUUGAGUAAGAGCAUAUAGGGUUGGACCCGAAAGAAGGUGAACUAUGCGUGUAUAGGGUGAAGCCAGAGGAAACUCUGGUGGAGGCUCGCAGCGGUUCUGACGUGCAAAUCGAUCGUCAAAUAUGCGCAUGGGGGCGAAAGACUAAUC